rnacentral:misc_RNA from 1 species
GAAAAGUUUAUUUAUAUGAAGUUGGUGACAUGCAUUUUUAUGACCAACUCAAGAGAGAAUCUCUUUAUCUAAACUUUAUAAAAAUAAUAAUAAUAAUAGCUUUCAUUUUCCAAUGUGGUGUUUGAUUUAAAAUCUGCACUCUCCGCACCACCUAAUGCAGCUGACUUUAGACUGGAAUUUUUCACCCUUUGAACGAAACCUUUGGAC